GAUGAACGCUGGCGGCGUGCCUAAUACAUGCAAGUCGAACGAAGAUCUAGCUUGCUAGAUCUUAGUGGCGAACGGGUGAGUAAUACAUAAAUAAUCUGCCCAUAUGACUGGGAUAACUAUUGGAAACGAUAGCUAAUACCGGAUAGGUUGAUUGGAGGCAUCUCUGAUUAAUUAAAGUAGGAUUUCUACACAAAUGGAUGAGUUUAUGGCGCAUUAGUUAGUUGGUGGGGUAACGGCCUACCAAGACGAUGAUGCGUAGCCGACCUGAGAGGGUGACCGGCCACACUGGGACGGGGACACGGCCCAGACUCCUACGGGAGGCAGCAGUAGGGAAUUUUCGGCAAUGGGCGCAAGCCUGACCGAGCAACGCCGCGUGAGUGAUUAAGGCCUUCGGGUUGUAAAGCUCUGUUGUAAGGGAAGAACAUUCAGGAUAGGAAAUGAUCUUGAACUGACGGUACCUUACCAGAAAGCCACGGCUAACUACGUGCCAGCCGCCGCUGUAACAC
rnacentral:rRNA from 1 species